GCACCCAGUGAUUAUAAAAAGACGCGUUAUUCUGAGGGUUUUGCUAGAUGUCAGCUUUUCUACCUUUUCUCCUCUAUAUUUUCUUCCCCUGUUCUCUGAAGCUGACAACUGGUCCGUUGACUGCGAUUAUGAGAUAUGAGGGUGC